GGAAAGAAAACGGGACUUUAGUGAAACUGACAAAGACGAGAGUUUUUGCACAUCGGGCUGAUACACAGGUGAAAAAAGUGAACAGGUGAAACUAAUGAGGAUGGUGGAGAUCAUUACAAAGGAGAGAAAAGAAAAACAGCACUACAGAGAAAGGAUCCAGACUCCAGUGACCCUGAAUUGACUGAGAUGAAUUGACAUGACAGCAUACAUUUCACAGACAGAAAAACAGUUCCUUAUGCGAGAACCAGGGGGCAUGGUGCAUCCACAGGAAUGUCAAUGAUGGAGCCGUGUGUCGCCUUAUGCUGCAGGGGAGCAGCGUCCUCGAAUCAUGAUGAGGAGUAGAGUGCAGGAGAGUGCUUUCUAAUGACAAUACGACUCGGCCGCGGCACAAAGACAGACGCUGCUCCCUGGCUCUCCACUGCAAGAAAUAAAGAAUAAACUCAAUGUGCUUUUAAACUUUGAAGCCAGAUAUUUGCCAACGGCUCUAACCUGAAAAUCUCUGAAUACUGCAUGAGA